rnacentral:sRNA from 1 species
GUGUGCCUUGAGAUUGAGUUAUCUGUGUGGUGUUAUUCCCCAGUAUUGGGGACGCAGGCUUGGGACUCUGCUGGAGUCAAGUCUGAGUUGUAGGCUUGGUAAUUGACUAUUGCCCGUGGCGUUGGGUUGGCGUUGUGUUGGCGUUGUGAAGCCUGAUUGACUAGGGCACUGAGAUUAAGGUGUGCUAUAGCCCUUUGAAUGUAAUCUGUAAUUGCUAUUGAUAUUUAUUCAUAAUGUAUGCCUCGUAAUAUCAUAUAUAUCAUUAACUCAUUAAACCUUUGUUGUUAUAUGCA